UGCCAGCAGCCGCGGUAAUACGUAGGUGGCAAGCGUUGUCCGGAAUUAUUGGGCGUAAAGAGUAUGUAGGCGGUUUGUUAAGUUUGAGGUUAAAGCCCGGAGCUCAACUCCGGUCCGCCUUGAAAACUGGCAGACUUGAAUAUGGUAGAGGCAAGUGGAAUUUCAUGUGUAGCGGUAAAAUGCGUAGAUAUAUGAAGGAACACCAGUGGCGAAGGCGACUUGCUGGGCCAUUAUUGACGCUGAGAUACGAAAGCGUGGGGAGCAAAUAGGAUUAGAUA
rnacentral:rRNA from 1 species